UUUUGUGUGAUGAAGUCGUUAGAUGGGGACAACUGAUGCCUGUGACUGAUUCCCUUGAUAGUAGAUCUGAUUUU